GCGGCCGCCGAGCGCGAGCUAGAGCUGCUGCGCGCCAGUCUGGAGCACCAGCGCGGGGUGAGUGAGCUUCUGCGGGGCCGGUUGCGGGAGCUGGAGGAAGCCCGCGAGGCUGCGGAGGAGGCAGCGGCGGGGGCCCGGGCCCAGCUACGCGAGGCCACCACCCAGACCCCGUGGAGCUGUGCCGAAAAGGCCGCGCAGACCGAGUCCCCGGCAGAGGCGCCCUCCUUGACUCAGGAGAGCUCGCCCGGAUCCAUGGACGGAGACAGGGCCGUGGCGCCCGCGGGCAUCCUCAAAUCCAUCAUGAAGAAGAGAGACGGCACACCUGGUGCCCAACCCAGCUCCGGACCCAAGAGCCUGCAGUUUGUUGGGGUCCUCAACGGAGAGUGAGCGCCUUUCCCCUCCUGUGGCAGCUUCUGCCGGGACAUAGACUGGGGUUGGAACCCCAGCUCUGCCCCUCUACUGGCAGCGUGGUCUGGGCAAUCCUCAGUUUCCUCAUCGUUAAAUGGGAACGGCCACACCCACAUCGCAGGACUCCAGAACGAGCCCACAGGGGAGGUUUAGCAGACACCUCCCACCCUGCCCCCAGGUAC
rnacentral:lncRNA from 1 species